rnacentral:rRNA from 1 species
GACGGAGGAUGCAAGUGUUAUCCGGACUCCCUGGGCGUAAAGCGUCUGUCGGUGGUUUAAUAAGUCAACUGUUAAAUCUUGAGGCUCAACCUCAAAAUCGCAGUCGAAACUAUUAGGCUAGAGUAUAGUAGGGGUAAAGGGAAUUUCCAGUGGAGCGGUGAAAUGCGUAGAGAUUGGAAAGAACACCGAUGGCGAAGGCACUUUACUGGGCUAUUACUAACACUCAGAGACGAAAGCUAGGGUAGCAAAUGGG